UGACAGCAAAUCCUCUGCCGACACCUCCACGCUCACCUUGGCGUUGGUGUGAACACAGAUUCUGUCCGAAAUCGCUUCCACAGCACCAAAAGCCCAGCAAGAGCCACAGGAGCCCUGGUCUCUGAUCUCGCUGAUGGUGGGACAGUUGGGCCACUGCUUCCGCGAGUCAAAGGUAUCCGGCAAAUCCAUAUCCGCAGCAAAAUCUACCCUUUCAGGGAGCUUGGGCCCACCCAGGAAAGUGCCACAGAGCUUCUUCACAUAGCUCAUGUCAGUGUUGUGGAAGUUGUGCCCUGCCUUCCAGGUGGUGUUGAGCUUGUUUAUGUGGUUGACCAGGUCGCUGGAGAGGGGUGGGUAGUAAGGAAUGCUGCGGGCAUUGGCGAAGGCCACCAGGACACACAGGAUGGACGCGGACGGCCACAUCUUGGCUGCAGAACGGGACGCUGCACCUGCCCCGCCGCACCGCUCCGCACCGCUCCCGGCCCCACUGCGGCUGAGGGCGGAGGAGAAGGAGAAGGGAGGGACAGAAGAGGGGAGGGCUCGGGCAGAGGCACGGCAGGGACCGCCCCGACGUGAUAGCGUCUGCUCGACGCCCGCCUCCAGCCCUCCCCCGGUCUACCCAUAGGGCUGUGCUUUCCUGAGUCAGUGCCCUUGCUGAGGUUCGGUUCCGUGCUGAGAGAGACCCGGUGUCACACAGUCACAGCAUUGCAGGGCUCGUUGCUCCUUGUCCUGUCGCCCCCCUCAGUCUUCUCAUCCCCAGGCUGAACGGACCCAGGUUGCUCAGCCUUUCCUCA
rnacentral:lncRNA from 1 species